GAUGAACGCUGGCGGCGUGCCUAAUACAUGCAAGUCGAGCGAAGCGCCGGAUGGGUGAGUAACGCGUGGGUAAUCUGCUCAUAAGACUGGGAUACCAUUUGGAAACAGAUGCUAAUAACGGAUACAAAUGGAUGGACCUGCGAUGCAUUAGCUAGUUGGGAAGGUAACGGCUUACCACGGCGAUGAUGCAUAGCCGAGUUGAGAGACUGAUCGGCAACAUUGGAACUGAGACACGGCCCAAACUCCGACGGGAGGCAGAAGUGGGGAAUCUGCCACAAGGGACGAAAGCUGGAUGGAGCAACGCCGCGUGAGUGAAGAAGGUUUUCGGAUCGUAAAGCUCUGUUGUUGGUGAAGCGGUAAUCAACCAGAAAGUCACGGCUAACUACGUGCCAGCCGCCGCGGUAAUAC
rnacentral:rRNA from 1 species